UAAGGGAUCUUCCGCAAUGGACGCAAGUCUGACGGAGCGACGCCGCGUGCGCGACGAAGCCCUUCGGGGUGUAAAGCGCUUUUCCGGGGGACGAAACAAGACGGUACCCCGGGAAGAAGCCUCGGCUAACUACGUGCCAGCAGCCGCGGUAAUACGUAGGAGGCAAGCGUUGUCCGGAAUCACUGGGCGUAAAGCGCGUGUAGGUGGAAGAGGAAGUCUGCUGUGAAAGCGCCUGGCUUAACCGGGCGAGGUCGGUGGAAACUCCUCAUCUCGAGGGCGGUAGAGGGGGUGGAAUUCCGGGUGUAGUGGUGAAAUGCGUAGAGAUCCGGAGGAACACCUGUGGCGAAGGCGGCCCCCUGGGCCGCACCUGACGCUGAGACGCGAAAGCGCGGGGAGCGAACGG
rnacentral:rRNA from 1 species